UACGGAGGGGGCUAGCGUUGUUCGGAAUUACUGGGCGUAAAGCGCACGUAGGCGGCUUUGUAAGUUAGAGGUGAAAGCCCGGGGCUCAACUCCGGAAUUGCCUUUAAGACUGCAUCGCUCGAAUUGUGGAGAGGUAAGUGGAAUUCCGAGUGUAGAGGUGAAAUUCGUAGAUAUUCGCAAGAACACCAGUGGCGAAGGCGGCUCACUGGCUCGAUACUGACGCUGAGGUGCGAAAGCGUGGGGAGCAAACAGG
rnacentral:rRNA from 1 species